CAGUAGCCGCGGUAAUACGAGGGGGGCAAGCGUUGUUCGGAUUUAUUGGGCGUAAAGGGUGCGUAGGCGGUUUGGCAAGUCUUGUGUGAAAUCUUCGGGCUCAACCCGAAGCCUGCACGAGAAACUACCGGGCUUGAGUAUUGGAGAGGUGAGUGGAAUUUCCGGUGUAGCGGUGAAAUGCGUAGAUAUCGGAAGGAACACCUGUGGCGAAAGCGGCUCACUGGACAAUAACUGACGCUGAUGCACGAAAGCUAGGGGAGCAAACAGGAUUAGAUACCCCCGUAGUCCCUGUCUCUUAUAC
rnacentral:rRNA from 1 species